AGGGUUUCAGAGGCGGCAGCUAUAAGUAGGCUUAGGGUACCUGGUGUCCCUCUGGCUUGGCCCUGGGCCUCAUGAAGAAGCUGUAAAUCUUGACAGUAUUUUCUAUGACAGCGCUUGCUGGUUUUUAUAGGAAUGAAAUGUGAAUUUACGAAGCCACAUGCUAAUGUACUUCUAAAAGUAGACUUAAUUGUUGUGAAUUCUUCCAAUUCUGAUCAUUUUUAGCCACCUAUCUUUGAGUAACUGAAUCGACUUCGUGAAGAAAUUCUUACAAAGAGACAAAACCCCAUGGGAGGCUGCGCGGGUCAGAAAGGGGAGAAACAAAUCAUGCAGUACUAGAGGCCCCCUCUAAUGUGACAAACGCACAUGAAGGUACCGGGAAAAGUUUAAAGCUCCAGCCAAAUGUUAGCAAUUACUAUUAACCCAGUGAGACUGACCAGAAACCUGGAACCACUAGUCAGAGCCAUACGUCUGGAUCCUGCGGUCAGAAACAAAGACACUGCAUUGUACACCUAUCUGAUGAUUCAUGUCUAUCUGGCCCAGAAGAAAAACUGCCUUCAAAAUCAUCAGCUCCUGGGGAAACAUAUUUUAUCUCCCAGAACCAAUUACAGUUGAUUCUCCUGAGUUCAGAUGGUUUGGGACCAAAUCUAUUUCACACAUAACUGAAUACUAUGGACAUCUUACCCAGGAAAACUCAAAAUAUAUACAUGGGACUCUCCAUGGAGCCUCAUAACACAGCGUGGGCAACAGGCAUAGCCAUCCAAUUUUCAGGCUUCCAAAAUUAGUGGGAACUGCCAUAAGAGGGAGUGGAGUGGGGGUGCCCAGUAAGAUAAACUGCCUGCCAGGAUUCUGGAAUGAUCUCUGCCCUCCCUCUGCCAAAGAGUGUGUAAUGGAAUCUUAAGUCAUACAUUUCUACUCAAGCAAAGAAAAUGUAAUAUUUUCAUUAUCUAUGACUAAUUGAAUCUUUCUCUCAAACCUCUAUCAUAUUGGGGUACCAUGGGGGAAUUGCACAGAAAUGCUUUCAACUUGCCAUUUAAUGGUGACUCAAU